UUUAAGUGCAACCAUGAGUUUUCGUGUCCAUCUUUGAUUGUCCGUCUUAUUUAAUUUUUUUAUAAUUAGUAUUUUUGUAGUUAUGAGAUGAUAAAACAUGAAUAAUACUUUAUGCGUGACUUAUGUUUUAAAUUUUUUUAAAUAAGACGGAUGAUUAAAGUUAAGCACGGAAAAAUAUGGCUGCAUUUAAA
rfam:Oryza sativa Japonica Group DNA, chromosome 10, cultivar: Nipponbare, complete sequence.